GCAGCACUACUGAAAUAGAACUCCCAGGAGGUAACAGCGUGUCACACAUGUGAUGUCAUAACCAUUGUCCACCAAAGAGCAGCAAUGAGCAGAAAUAACACGGCUCCUGUUCAUUCUCCAUCAGUGAGGGGCCGGUGCUGGACACUGUGUAGGGACGCGGGAAUGCAAAGUCAUACACAUGACUGUGACUGAUGCACUAUCUCCAGGACAUGGAGUAGCAUUUCCGGACCUACAGCAAGACGUUGGAUGAAGGCAUAGCCCCAGAAAUAACACUGGUCCUGUUCAUCAGUGAGGGGCCGGUGCUGGACACUGUGUAGGGACACGGGAAUGCAAAGUCAUGCACAUGACUGUGACUGAUGCAGUAUCUCCAGGACAUGGAGUAGCAUUUCGGGACCUACAGCAAGACGUUGGAUGAAGGCACAGGCCUAGGAAUCAUGCACAUACACAGAAACAUUUGGCCAAAUUCUAGAGGUAACCUCCUUUAGUAUGCCCAGAGGAAGGGCCAUACAGUAGCCAUGGAUUCCCUACAGGUUUCCUCCCCUCUGGAGGUUUUUCCUGUCCUGAGUAUUAGUUACUGUACGCUCUUUGUGAGUGAUGGGAGGUUACAAAAAAUCCCCUACACAAACAUUUUAAUAAAUUAUAAAUAAAG